GUAGUAUCAUACGUUCAAUGUGUGAGAAGGAACAUCAAAGACCGAUGAAGAUUCGGUGGCAAGUGGUUAGCAAGACUGCAGGGGCAGUUUAUUCAUCGUUCAUCGAUCUUGAAGCAAACAAGGAAGCUAAUAAAGUUGUAAGCAUUGGUUUUGAAGGUGUGGAAAUUCGAAAACAAGAAGAGUGGGAAAGUAUGGAGUCUUGAGCUUCAUGUUAUGGAUCAUAAUGAAUAGUUUACACAACAUUCAUUGAUCUCGGACCGGAUCAAACAACUCAAAAGGCAUGUGGAAAUUCGAAAACAUUAUAUACUAGAAUCCAUCCCAAAUCUACUUCUCCAAUACAAGGACUGGAAGUUGGAGAUCAUGUUGUCUGCUUCCGGGAUUUUAGUAGGUAGCAAAAGUUAUCUUGGUUUAAUAGCCCCCCUCAAUGCCUAUGACGUAUAUUUUUGUUACUUUAGAUUUCUUAUUUUUGAACCUUGGUCUAUAGUAUACUCUUGGUUGUACUGGUAGCGUGCUUGCUUUAUUGUGUUUUGGUUUACUUUGAGAUAAUCAUGAUUUUUUCCAGCCUGACCAGCAUACCCGCUGGUGGUAGUAGUACC